GGCAGAGCUAUGACUAAAAAUAUGACUAAUAAUUACCAUGAAGGUAAUUAUGUCCUUAAUUGUAUGUGUUUGUGAUAUGAGUGAUCCAUGAGACAUGCACAUAAUACAGUAUGUUUGUAGGGAGACCGACUUUGUCAAUGUAUUACUGCCAAAACAACAUACAUUUGUAACACAAGUGUUUGUAUGGCUUGUAAGCUAGGGCCAUGAUUCCAGAGUUUUAAGAAUGGUAUCGAGUGGCGCACUCCUUUAAUCCCAGCACUCAGGAGGCAGAGGCAGGUGAAUUUCUGAGUUCAAGGACAGCCUGGUCUACAAAGUGAGUUCCAGGAUAGCCAGGGCUACACAGAAACUCUGAAAACCAAAAAAAAAAAAAAAAGAAAAAAAAAAAGAAUGGUGUUGAAAGUUGGCCUAGUCAUUCUUUUUCCUUUAGAACUUUGAGUAUAUUGACCCAAACACCAUACUCUGAACUCUUUCUUAUUCAGGUAGCAACAUAAUUAAGAGCUGAAAGGAUCAUUAUGUCAUUUGUGUUUUAUUUUGAGACAGUUCUGCUGUGUUAUUGUUGGCCUCAAACUGGGCAGUCUGCCUCUGCUUUUCCAGUGCAGAGAUGAGUGCGUUUCCCUGUGUAGCCAGGGCUGCUCUGGACAUCAGGAUCUGCCUGCUUCAGCUUCCUGAGGUUCUAGGUGUGUCCCCUGCGCACUGACAGCCCCUUGACUUAGAGGGUAGAGUAAGAGUCACCAGUAGUGAACGCUGGCUUUGCUGGUUCAGAACUUGACUUCUCUCUUGCCAGUGUGGUGCUUUCAUGAUCACAAGGUCAGAAGAAGACUCUCCCCAGCUCAAACAUUACCUUAGGAAAACACAGAGCGAGAGUUACUACUUCUUGUGGUAGAACUGAAUUUCAUUUUCUAAGAAAAAAGGGGCUUUCCUUGGUCCACAAACCCCUGGUGAUUCUUCACUGUGUCAGGCUGACAUAAGUAACAGCAUAGCAGUGAAGGCCAUUGACUGAAGACUGCGGUUAGUGAUGUGGCCCUGCCUUCUCACAAGACUGCAGGGCUGAGGCUCAGGUAGCCGAGUAGGUGUUAGGCUCCACGUGGCAAACUAAUGAAAAGGAGCCAAUGCCGUCUUUAAAACUCGGGACCUCACUUACUGCAUUUGCACACUAGCCUAGUCAUCCGAUGCAAGUACUUGGGAGUAGAGCCCGGGCGGGGCUGCUGCUGACCUCAAUGGUGAUGAGGAUGACGAUCAUCCACUCCAAGCGGAGUGCUCGCUUCUCAUUGAGGUGAUUCCGCAUUAGGUCUGUUAGUUCCAUGCAGUGCUGCAGUUUUUCAUUCAUGACCUGCAAGAAAGAGAAAACAGGUAAGAUAUGCUAGGUCAUCAAAUUCUUAUGCUUAGUCCUCUAAGAUGACCAGCGGUUAGCAAAGGGUGUUUAAUGACUCCAUCUAGAAACCUUUUUGUAAUGCAGUUUUGUUUUAUUGUGUAUGUUUAUGAAUGUACAUGUGCAUAGAUGCCUGUGGGGCCAGCUUGUACUAAGCGUUUGUGAGCGAGCUAUAUGGGUGCUGGGAUCUGGUUUGUUUUUUUUUUUUUUUUGGUUUUUCAAGACAGGGUUUCUCUGUGUAGCCCUAGCUGUCCUGGAACUCAGAAAUCUGCCUGCCUCUGCCUCCUGAGUGCUGGGAUUAAAGGCGUGCGCCACCAUACCCAGCCCCGAUCUGUUCUUUUGAGAGAGUUUCUCUGUACAGCCCUGGCUUCCCUGGAGCUCCCUCUGUAUACCAGGCUGGACUCAAACUUUGCCUGCCUCCUGAGUGCUGGGAUUAAAGGCGUGCAGCACCACUGCCCGGCAGAUGCUGGGAUCUUAACUCUGUACAGGACACACUCCUAAUCAAGCCAUCUCCGCACCCGCUUAUUUUGAGAUGGGGUCUCAUGUAACCUAGGGUGGCCUUAAGUCUUCUUGCUACCACCUCCAGGAAUGCUGGUAUUCCAUGGGCCACCACAUGAAAUCAGUGCUGGCUACUGAACUUGAGGCUUCAUGCUUGAUGGCAAACUAAACUACCAGGUCAGUUUUAUUUCUUGGUCCCUUUGUAUUGCAGUUUAAAAAGAAACCCUGCAUACUAAUCCAUGACUGAUGGAUGUUUAAGAAAUAGCAUUUUGUUACGGGAACAAGAAACUUUAUUAAGCAUGACAAAGACUGAUUUGGCACUUUUCCUCUCUCUCUUUUCUCUAUGCUCAUACCCUUUCUCUCUUUCUCUGUCCCCCAUCCCUCCCAAUGGCAACUCCUCCUGGCCUCAAUUCCCAAUAAACCUGCCUUUAAUAUGAUCUU
rnacentral:lncRNA from 1 species